rnacentral:rRNA from 1 species
GCAUCGAUGAAGAACGCAGCGAAAUGCGAUAAGUAAUAUGAAUUGCAGAUUUUCGUGAAUCAUCGAAUCUUUGAACGCACAUUGCGCCCUUUGGUAUUCCAAAGGGCAUGCCUGUUUGAGCGUCAUUUCUCUCUCAAACCGCAAGGUUUGGUGUUGAGCGAUAUAGAUAUUCAGUAUCUAUUUGCUUGAAAUGGAUUGGCAUGAGUAUUUACAGUAGAUAAAUGCCGUUUGACUCUUCAAUGUAUUAGGUCUAACCAACUCGUUGAAACAGUUAGCGGUAGUAUCUGUGUAAAAGAGGCUCGGCCUUACAACAAUCUACAAAGUUUGACCUCAAAUCAGGUAGGAAUACCCGCUGAACUUAAGCAUAUCAAUAAGCGGAGGA